ACAAACAAUUCAAGAAUUGCUUGUCCACAGAAUCCCUUCUAAAACUGGAUCGAUGUAGCAUCAAAUGCUUAUUAAUUAAAAUUCACGGUGCUUAAUGAAUCAGCUCAGGCUUCAGUCCAUGGUCACCUGGCUCCAAAGAAGAAACAGCAUUGCAGAGGCAUGGCAGAGAGAUAAUUCCUAAGGUGGAAUGUCUGGAUUGGUCUCUAGCAAUCAGGAACUUGACAAGAUAAUGUACCCACACAAGACAGAGGUGUUCAUGCUGUCAUUUCAAGCACCUGUGAAAAUGUUAGGCUACACAGCAAAGAGAAAAUAAGACUUCUAGUCAGUUCCCAGAUAUGACAAACUGUGACUCUGCUACAUUGGUGAUUGCAUUCCCCUUUGUCCUCGACUUCUUGCACUGGGGACUGCAGAAGCCUUUAUGCCUCUUUGCACGUGAUAUAUGUGACAGUUCUGGCUGAGAAUGGAAGACACAUCCACUCAUCUCUUUUAUCUGCCUGGCUGAGUACAUCUCAAAUAUCCAACUUCCAGCAAUCACGAGAGCAUCAGAGGCCUGGGGGCCUAACAUCCCCAAGUCCCUGAGCUAAUGCCAGCUUUCUUGUUACAUGACAAAGUAAAC